AGCCACGCAAUGAGCACAUAGCGAAUUAUUCUUUCGCCUUUUACUAAAGAAUACCGUGUGCUCGUUCCAUAUAGUGGUAUACGCCUAUUUUUGGAGGGAUUUCUUUAAUGGAAACCC